GCCGGGGCCGCCUAGAGAAGAGGCUGUGCUCUGGAGCUCCCGCUCCUCAGAGAGCCUCGGCUAGGUUGCUCCUUGAGGGCAUGACAUUGCUUGUUUAUGGCUAUAUCCCUGUUGUGUAAGCAUACAGAAGUCUUCAAGGUCAAAACUGUUUUCAUAACACAGUAAGUCCCCUACAUACUAACCUUCAAGUUGCGAACUUUCAAAGAUGCGAACAUGUGUUUGCACGUCCAGUCGUGUAAGUUAGUUCACGUGUCUGGCGUACAUUGUCACAUGCCUGCAGCCUCUACAAGUGGUUGUGCUUUUUUGUACUUUACUGUAUACAGUAGUAUAGUAUCUUUAUUUCAAGCCCAGCAUGUCCAGAAGCGCUGUAGCUGGUACUGCUAAGAAGCCCCAAGUGAUAACGAUGGAAACAAAAGUGAAAAUAAUUGAGAGGGUGGAGCGAGGUGAAAAGAUGGUAGACGUUGUUCAUUCUUAUAACAUGAAUCGUUCAACCAUCAGCAUGAUUCUAAAGAACAAGGACAAGAUCAUGGAACAUGUGAAGUCUGCUGUGCCAAUGAUGGCGACAAUAAUGUUGAAGAAGCGGGAAAAGUGACGGAGAUGGGGAAACUUCUCAGUGUGUGGAUGCAGGAUCAGCAUCAGCAUCGAGUCCCCCUCAGCUUAAUGCUGAUGCAAGAAAAGCUAAAAGGCUUUAUGAAGACUUGAAGAAGAAACAUGGUGAAGAACCAGAGGGUGCAUCUUUUAAUGCCAGCUAUGGCUGGUUUCAUCAGUUCAAGGCUAGAGCCAACCUUCACAAUGUAGAAGUAAGUGGCAAGGCAGCGAGUGCAGAUAUGGUAGCUGCCCGGGAUAAGGAGUCCAAAGAGGUUUUUAGCAACUUAGUGACCCUCAGAGAGAAGCUGGAGCUAGAUCUGCAAGAGGACGACUUCAUUGAACUCCUUGCUGUGCAACACGAGGAGCUUACUAACGAAGACCUGAUGGAAUUGGAGGCCCAGAGAAAGGACGAAGAGAGACAAGAGGAGGAAGUAACCGAAGAGAUUCACGACACAGGAAAUGGCAAGGGGAUUUUCUUUAUUCGAGGAGGCACUGUUAGUUUUUGAGGUGCAGGAUCCGAAUGUAGAACAGUACAUGAAGGUUGCAGCAGCCGUUCGGGAUGCAAUCCAGUGCAACCGUGUCAUCUACAACGAGAAAAAAAGAGCUACUACCCAGACAUCAUUGGGUUGUUUUUUCAAGAGGGUAGAUAGAAUUGAAUCCAGCAAGGAACCAGAACCUGUGCCAUCAGUGUCAGGUGUGAGUGAAACUGCAGCUUGCCUUUUGUCUCCUGUUGCUGCCCAUCCCUGAGUUCUACCAUCUUCUACCUCCUCUCCCUCCUCCAGUCAGUAACUCUUGCCUGUUCACUCGAUGCCAGCCCUUGUAUGCCAGCUGUUGUACUGUACUACUGUACUUUUUAAGGUACUGUACUGUAAGAUUAAAAAUAUUUUAUUUUUUGUAUUUAUUUUUAUAUAAACCUAUUAUUAGUACAGUACUACAUAGCCGAUUGGGUACCUAGGCUAACUUUGUUGGACUUAUGAACAAAUUGCACUUAUGAAUGCCCUCUUGGAACUGAACUUGUUCGUUAUGUAGGGGGCUUACUGUACUAAGACGUAACUUACCUUUUCAACUCAUUCUCACAAGUACAUAGAGGCUACAUGAUAUGUGUUGGAUGACAUCAUCACUAAUGUUAAUUGAAUGGUGCUGUAUAUUCUUGAAUUUUUCACAAUUUCCUAAGGUCGUAGGUUUAGGGUAUGAAUAUCUGUGUCUUUAGAAAUUCACUCUUCAGGUUAUACCUCCAAAACCCCAGCAAACCUCAGUCUUAUGCAGUUAUUAUAAAAUCUUGUAGUUUUCCUUGCACCUAAGCAUAAACAUGAAUACAUUCUGUUAUCAAAUAAGGUGAUGAAUAUUUCAGAGUUGUCUGACACAUAGGGAGAAUCAACUCCAAAAAACUAUGAGAAAAACCUACUGAAGUAUCUUAAAGGAUAGGUUAUUGUAUGAGAUUACAUGCUUUGUAAUGUGCCGUUCUUUGUUGAAAAUAGUUACUUCCGUGAAAGUGUUAAUAUUUUUACUGUAUUUUACUUUUUUUCUGUUUUUCUAAUUAUGGUAAAAUAUUGGUAAACAAAGCUACUUGGAGCCCUCAGUUUUUAAGAAUGUGAAGGGGUCCUGAGCCAAGAAGUUUGAGAAAGCUGCUGUAGCACAGUGUAUAUUGUAAACAAACACUCAUGCCUGUUGAGUAGCUGGAUGUAGCUAAAAAUGACUCCCAGCACUAAGUGUGGAUUACUGGGAGGAUGGGCACGCUAAGACAGGGAGCGGGUUUUAGUGGAGAAAGAUAGGUUCCUGUUGAGUUUAAGUAGGACUUACAGGAGAAGGGAUAACAAUAGUAGGCAGUUGGAAAUUCAGAAUUUGGGCGUGAGAAAAACUAAAACACCAUUCUCCUUUGCAGUGAAAACUGCUUUCAUCAUGGAAUAUAUCACUGAACAGCUACUACCUCACAACUGAUUGGCAUACGUGUUAGCCUUGGGGCAAAAGUAUGAGGGUGACAGAGCAGGCUUCUUGUAAACAAUGAUGAAUAUUUUCACAUGGUGCACUUUUUAAAAUUUGGCACAGGAGAGACCUAUAUAUGGUGUUUCUCCUGAACUUAAAAAAAAAAUGUAACCAAGGUACAAUAAUUUGAUUUUUUUGUCCUAGAAGUUUCAAACUUUCAUCAUAUUCCCACAUAACACCUCAUCUGAACUUGGAAAAGGCUAUGCUUAGAAUAAGGAUGUUCUACUUUUCCUAUGCCUAGCUCAGUAAUUAAUAUUAAGCACUUGUGGGCAUGAGUAUACUUCAGGCACUUUACAGACCUUUUAAAAUACUUCCUUUUUUCAGUCUUCAGCUUACCUUUUGGUCCUUGCAGUGGAAACAUGAGCCAUGUCUGCAAUGUGACAUGUCAGAAUCUAAAAUUUUCUGAAAGUCUUAUUACCAUUUUAAAAGAAAUGUUUAAACAAAUGUUUCCCUCUCUAGCCAAGUAGUAUAUUGUCUCUGGGAGAUAACCAUCUUCCUUUAAUUUCAUUAAAUUUAUAAAAUCUG